rnacentral:rRNA from 1 species
GAACGAAGGAGAGAUGGAAGCUUGCUUCUAUGGAUCCUAGUGGCGAACGGGUGAGUAACGCGUAAUCAACCUGCCCUUCAGAGGGGGACAACAGUUGGAAACGACUGCUAAUACCGCAUACGAUCCAAUCUCGGCAUCGAGAGUGGAUGAAAGGUGGCCUCUAUUUAUAAGCUAUCACUGAAGGAGGGGAUUGCGUCUGAUUAGCUAGUUGGAGGGGUAACGGCCCACCAAGGCGAUGAUCAGUAGCCGGUCUGAGAGGAUGAACGGCCACAUUGGGACUGAGACACGGCCCAGACUCCUACGGGAGGCAGCAGUGGGGAAUCUUCCGCAAUGGACGAAAGUCUGACGGAGCAACGCCGCGUGAGUGAUGACGGCCUUCGGGUUGUAAAGCUCUGUUAAUCGGGACGAAUGGUUCUUGUGCAAAUAGUGCGAGGAUUUGACGGUACCGGAAUAGAAAGCCACGGCUAACUACGUGCCAGCAGCCGCGGUAAUACGUAGGUGGCAAGCGUUGUCCGGAAUUAUUGGGCGUAAAGCGCGCGCAGGCGGAUUGGUCAGUCUGUCUUAAAAGUUCGGGGCUUAACCCCGUGAUGGGAUGGAAACUGCCAAUCUAGAGUAUCGGAGAGGAAAGUGGAAUUCCUAGUGUAGCGGUGAAAUGCGUAGAUAUUAGAAGAACACCAGUGGCGAAGGCGACUUUCUGGACGAAAACUGACGCUGAGGCGCGAAAGCCAGGGGAAGCGAACGGGAUUAGAUACCCCGGUA